CCUGUACUGCACACUGUUCUAUGCUAGCUCAAGGGGAAGAGAAGUGCUCAAGUCAUAAACUAAAAAAACAAACUUCAAAACGUUGGGCAUUAAGUUGAAGGUCAAUUUCCAGCCACUCUAAAGCUGUUGUGAUGCUAGCUCUAAAGGAGAGCAGAAGUAUCAAGUCAUCAGCACAAAAGGGAACUAGUGAUUAAUUAAUUACAGCCAUGUCUUGUUUUAUGUACAUAGAAAAAAGGUCCGUCAUAAAGUUGGAAGUCAAUCACUCUGAAGCUGAUUGUAAAGCUGCGAGAAAUUGAUUCUAUUAUUCAUGAAUAAUAAUUUUCUAUUAUAGGUGGAGCGCUGUUAAUGUUGUCAAAUCUUUGCGAGGGAGCAGAAAUCAAACAUGCAGAGGGUACCAAACGAUGUAACUAAGUUGUACACUUUCUUAGAUAGAUUAGUCAUAGGAUGUUUUACUUAGUUCACUGUUAAUCAUUUAGUAUGCUGUAUCAAUGCAAUGUCUCUUGUUGCUAUGACAAUGUGAUGUACUUGUAACACUUAUAUACAUGUCAUGU